UAAGAAUGACUUUGAGAAGCGACCUCCUCCACACUGCGUCUGCUUUAGACCCUCAUUUUAAGACUCUUCCUUUCCUGAGUGAUGAAGAUACUGAGAGGAUAUUCUUACGUAUUUCAGCUGAAGCUACUGCCCUGUUUCACAAGCAGGGGAUGCAGACAGCCAGGGACACGUUCAGAGGGACGUGGUGCAGAGAGACCCUGCUCAUACAGAUCCACACAACAGGAUAGCUGGUCCUCAGAUCCAGGAUGAGCCAAAAGAUGAACCUCCGGCCAAAAUGACAAAGACUGCAGCAAUGGCCCAGCUGUUUGGGGAAGCCUCUGAGGUCAGAGCAGCAGCACGAUCUUCAAGAGAGGAAGCCAGUGAGGAGCUCAUGAGAUACAGAGAGCGGAGUCCUUUGCCCCUGACCGACAACCCACUACAGUGGUGGAAGGCACAGGAAGACCUCCCACUGCUGUCAUCUCUUGCAAAGAAAUACUUACGUAUACCAGCCGCCAGUGUGGCCUCAGAGAGAGUUUCCAGCACUGCAGGAGAUAUUGUUUCUGUGCAAUGCAGUGAACUACGACAUGAUCAUGUUGAUCAACUGAUUUUUCUCAAGAAGAACCUUGACAAGCAUUAAGCAUACAUGAACUUCUUCACUGUGUGUACGGGAUGAACAUAUAAUGAUCAAGUAUGUGUGUAUGUGAGUGCACCAAGCAUACAGUAUUGGACACUGUCUCAGAAGAUAGUUAUUUAGUUUACAUGUGGCAAGAUGACACUUAAAAAAAAGAAAGAAAUACACCUAGUAGUUACUAGUGGGGAUUUUAUAAAGCAGAUGUAUGUUAAAACAGCACUUUAAAUGACUGAUAAUCUGCUUACUUACAGUUAGCCACUUUAUGUUCUCUUUUCAGAAAGAAAAAUGUACAAGGGAUGUCUUGAAAUGUUAUGUUCUACCUCACUAGCUCAUUGUGCCUUGAUCUGAAGCUACACAGAUCUCUCUCACUGUUGUUUAUUUGAAUUUAAUUAACGUUGGCGAGCUCUUACGUGUUGUUACAUGUUAAUAAACAUGACAAAAACUACAAAUACA